rnacentral:rRNA from 1 species
UAGGUAUGCNAGUCGAGCGAUCCCCUUGGGGAGAGCGGCGAACGGGUGAGUAACGCGCAGAUAACCUGCCCCGAAGAUGGACAUAGCCUCACGAAAGUGGGGAUAAUAUCCAAUAGUCUGUGAUUCCUUAUGGAUUCACAGUAAAGAUUUAUCGCUUCGGGAUGGAUCUACGUUCUAUCAGCUUGUUGGUAAGGUAACGGCUUACCAAGGCUAAGACGGAUAGCUGGUCUGAGAGGAUGGUCAGCCACAAUAGCACUGAGAUACGGGCUAUACUCCUACGGGAGGCAGCAAUUAGGAAUCUUGCACAAUGGGGGAAACCCUGAUGCAGCGACACCGCGUGAAGGAUGAAGAUUUUCGGAUUGUAAACUUCUUUUAUAGUCAAACAAGUUCUGAGUAGACUAUGAAUAAGCACCUGCUAACUGCGUGCCAGAAGCAUCGGUGAUGCGUGGGGUGCGAGCGUUAUCCGGAUUUAUUGGGCGUAAAGAGAAGCGUAGGUGUUUUGAUGUGUCUAUUGUUAAAUACUCCGGCUCAACUGGAGGUAUGCAAUGGAAACCGUCAAAAUUGAGGCAGAGAGGGGGAAAUAGAAUUCCCGGUGGAGCGGUGAAAUGUGUUGAUAUCGGGAGGAAUACCAGUGGCGAAGGCGAUUUCCUGGCUCUGUUCUGACACUAAGGCUCGAAAGCGUGGGUAGCAAAACGGAUUAGAUACCCGUGUAGUCCACGCCGUAAACGUUCCUCACUGGAUGUUGGGUGAGUUGACUUAUGGAACUAGUUUCUAUUUGUUAGCGAACUCAGUGUCGUAGCUAACGCAUUAAGUGGGGCGCCUGGGAAGUACGGCCGCAAGGCUAAAACUCAAAGGAAUUGGCGGGGACCCGCACAAGCGGUGGAGCGCGUGGUUUAAUUCGAUGGUAAUCGAAGAACCUUACCAAGGUUUGACAUAUAGCUGCAAAGCCUAUGAAAGUAGGAAUCCUUCGAGGGUGCUAUACAGGUGCUGCAUGGCCGCCGUCAGCUCGUGUCGUGAGAUGUAGGGUUAAGUCCCGAAACGAGCGCAACCCUUAUCCCGUGUUAUAUUUGUCUCGGGAAACUGCCUCGGUAAAACGAGGAGGAAGGUGGGGAUGACGUCUGGUCCGCAUGGCCUUUAUGCCUUGGGCUACACACGCGCUACAAUGGUCGGUACAAAGGGCUGCCAAGCUGUAAAGCGGAGCAAAUCCCAUCAAAACCGAUCUCAGUUCGGAUUGAGGUCUGAAACUCGACCUCAUGAAGUUGGAAUCGCUAGUAAUCGUGGAUCAGCCAUGCCGCGGUGAAUACGUUCUCGGGUCUUGCACACACCGCCCGUCAUGUCAUGAAAGCUGGGGGUACCCGAAGUUAUCGUGCUCUGUCGCAGAGGUGGNUAACGAAG